rnacentral:lncRNA from 1 species
CCACAUCGGCUGGGAAGGAGAACUAAGCAUUCCUUAUAAGGGGUGUGGAUACCUUCCCUAUCACAACGUGUUUUAAAGGCGUGAGGGCAGCAGAUCCCAUAAGAACUCUGCAGUUAAGCGUGUUCGGGCGGGAGUAGUACCAGGAUGGGUGACCCCCUGGGAAGUCCUCGUGCCGAGUGGCCCAAAGCGGACAAUAUUGUGAUACGUGCCAGAGGGGGAUGUUACAAAUGGUAUCAGAGCCAGGGCACGGGUCGAUGUGUUCGACGGGGACGUCGAACCCUAUAAUGGGGGGUGAAAGUGGGUUAGAUCUGAUCCCACAUCGGCUGGGAAGGAGAACUAAGCAUUCCUUAUAAGGGGUGUGGAUACCUUCCCUAUCACAACGCGUUUUAAAGCCGUGAGGGCAGCAGAUCCCAUAAGAACUCUGCAGUUAAGCGUGCUCGGGCGGGAGUAGUACCAGGAUGGGUGACCCCCUGGGAAGUCCUCGUGCCGAGUGGCCCAAAGCGGACAAUAUUGUGAUACGUGNUGUACGAAAGACACCUACUUGAUGUGGAACGUCAACUGGCUGAACUGAGAGUUCACCAGAGGGAUGAUCGUCUCCAGUAGGAGAUACUUUAAUUUCCUUCUUGUUUUAAAAGAACUGUGUUCCUGUGUAUGCCCUAUGUGGCAUUUUCUAUGGAACUGCCUAGUACUGUAGGUACUUUUGAUUAGGCCUUUAUACGGCCAAAACUUUGGAUACUCCGGGUAUGAUGUAAGACCUGCUUCAAGGUCAAUUUUCCCUGAACUUAUUUCAUCUUAAACAUCGUUGAUGUUGACAGUCGACUAAAUUCCAUGUCAUGUUUUUGUUCAAAUACUCUCAUCAUACUUUCAUUGGAGUCUAGCUGAAUCAUGCUUUAGUCAAGUCAUCGGACUAUAAUAAUUUAAAAUCCGGAGACAUUUCCAUGUCUCCUUCAGUGGUUGGAUCAUAUUAUCCACCAACCCAUAGUACCUCGGCACGAAUGACAAACGUCUUGACACCACUGUAGGAGCUUACUCCCACUUUUUCUAGGACUGCAUCAUAGGAAUGUAGGUCAAACCUUAGUGAUCAUGUUUCCAUUCCGUACUAGGACUGCAUCAUAGGGAUGUAGGUCGAACCUUAGAGAACAUACUUAUAUCCUUUACAUGAGCGAUCGAACUACGUCUAGGUUCAACCAUUCUCGCUCACAAAUUCAUUUUCUUUCAGUGAAACAGAAUCAUGUCGCCAAAGAAAACCGAUCAACCCAUCAACCAAACACCGACUCUUCAGAUUGAUGCGGCUACCUUUCAAGCUGCAGUUUCGGCUGCCGUGUCAGCUAUUCUGACCCACCUCAGCGCUAACAACGCAAAUGUUAGCAGGAUUGUUAACAACAGUUCCAAUCCAGUUAACAAUCAAGUACCUCAACGAGCAACAAACUACCACGAUACUCCGAGUUCCAAGACCAAGAGUAACAAACAGAAAAAAGUGGGUUAGAUCUGAUCCCACAUCGGCUGGGAAGGAGAACUAAGCAUUCCUUAUAAGGGGUGUGGAUACCUUCCCUAUCACAACGCGUUUUAAAGCCGUGAGGGCAGCAGAUCCCAUAAGAACUCUGCAGUUAAGCGUGCUCGGGCGGGAGUAGUACCAGGAUGGGUG